rnacentral:lncRNA from 1 species
AAAAAAAAUUUGAAAGACGAUGAAAGAUUCACCAUCUUUGAUAAACUCUAAAACGCGCUUAAUUAUUUGCUGUUUCUUUUUUAAUUUUCUACAUACAACACUAAUAAUCAUAUAAAAAUUUUCAAUACCCCGUAUAAAAUUCUGACAAACUUAUAAAAAUUUUUAAUAACCUGCAGUAGUCACAACUAAAUAAAAAUCUUAACAGCCCAAAUAUAACUCGUAUAAUUUUAUAAAAAUUGUACAAACAACCGUAACAAUGUGAAGUUUUUUAAAAACUGUGGAUAAUUGAUUGACCAUUUUAAAAUUUUAUUGAUUACAACGAGUAAUUCAUCAUUGUUUACUUUUCUCUCUGCCGUUAUGUAGAGCUCAAUAAUAUAGUAUUAGUUUACCAAUUAAAAUUUUAAUAAAUUAUUCUUUAAAUUAUAACUUUUUUUGUUUAGGUAUCACUUAAAAAGAUACCCCAAUUUGACAAUGGCUAUGAGAUUCCUAUGGCCGUAGGGGCUGUUUGUCACGCCCCGCGCCCGGUCCUAUUUGGCCGGUUCGAGCACGUUGAACAGACGCCGAACGAACAACACCUUCCCUAUCUGCCCAAGACUCAACAACAAGUACAGAGCAAGUAUAUAAAUUUGCACAACAGAAAUAUAAAUAUACUUAGCUUGCACGAGGGCAAGCGAUAGCCAAAGUGAAAGUACUAACUAAACAUCAUACAACUAAUAUGAUUAAUUUUUAACCACAUACAUGCAUUCAAUCACAAGUUAUAUUUUUAUUCUUUUCAUCAUUUCUUCUCUUGAUACAUCACAUGAUAUCCAAAAUAUAACUCUUUACAUUUAAGCAUAAACUCUUCUAUCUCAUUCAUAUUCUUUCAUUUAAACGUCUAUAAUCAUCAAGUACAAAAGAUGAUAUACAAAAGG